AUGUGUAAACAGCAUUUCCGAGCGCUGACACAACGCAGGCGGCUGCGGCACACGCGCGCAGCCCAGCACCCUCCGGGCGCCUGGCCCCACAGCCCGGGCAUGGCCUGGGGCUCUGCCUGUCCUGUCCUGUCCUGUCCCAUCCUGUCCUGUCCUGUCCUGGGAAGGGACAAGGUGCACACACCGCACAGCUUCAGGCCUUGCCAGAGAGGAUGGCAUUGCCCCCAAAGCCCUGUGGUGGCAAACGCCCUUGGAGUGUUAACGUGGGCUGGGGCUCCCCUGCAUGCAGGGCAGCGGGACCACAUUCCCUGCGCCAUCCCCAGGCUGCUGGGGGCUCAAGGGAGGGGAGAUGCAGCAGCAAGUGGGGGGGCAGUGAGGUUUACCCCAUUUUCUGUGGUUUAUUAUCUCUGUCUAGAGGCCCAGGUCCUGCACUGGGAAAAGGAGGAGGAAAUUUCCCCACACCCUACAAAGCACAAAGGCCUCGCAGCCCGAGAGGGGGGCGCAUGCGCCAGGUGGGUGCAUUCCUCCAGUGGCCCUCCCAGCUUUUGGGGCCGCAGAUUUCGACUCCUAAAAGGCCCCUCCAGAGGAGCAGGGGACAACCUGCGCUCCGUGAGCCUGGGGAGCAGCUCGAGGCACCUCCGCUUCCAGCCCUGCUGGGCUCUGGGCAGGGGAGGGCCGGAGGCUGGAGGAGGGAGGCUGGAGGGCGGCGGGUGGCGGCGCGGUUGGGUGGAGGACAGCACCACCGUGUGGCACAGCAUCCCCCCGGCUGCAGGGACAAGGACAGGGACUGCUCCGGGCCCCCCACCCGCGAGGGACCCCCGCUGCCCCCAGCCCUGUCCCUGGGCCAGGCCGUGGCUGCGCCCCCCUCCCUCCCCGUGCCUCAGUUUCCCCCUCCGCAGCGCUCUGCGCCCCAGUGCCUGGCCUCGGGCAGCCGGAGUGGCAUGGCACGGCAUGGGGAAGGGGCAGCACCCCCAGCGACACCCCCGGGAGCACCCCCAGCCUGCAGCCCCGGGGCACAGCCCCAGGGCCAGCUGCCAGCUCAGCCGGUGUGCCCGCACUGCCAGGGGCUGGGAGCAGCAGCAGGGUCAGGAUGGGCUUGGGGCAGAAACACCAGGGGUGCUGGGGCGCCAUCACGUCGCUUGA
rnacentral:lncRNA from 1 species